GACGAACCAUGCAAACGUUAUUCGGAAUUACUGGGCUUAAAGCGUGCGUAGGCGGCUCAGAAAGUUGGGUGUGAAAGCCCUCGGCUCAACCGAGGAAUUGCGCCCAAAACUACUGGGCUUGAGGGAGUUAGAGGUGAGCGGAACUCACGGUGGAGCGGUGAAAUGCGCAGAUAUCAGGAGGAACACCGGUGGCGAAGGCGGGUCUCUGGGCCGAUACUGACGCUGAGGAGCGAAAGCGUGGGGAGCGAACAGG
rnacentral:rRNA from 1 species